AUGUCGCUUCUCCUCGGCGGCCUCGGCGGCGGCAACGGCGACCCGCUCCCAGCCCUAAAAGACGACGCCUGGAUGUAUGCCGCCGUCGAUCUCUCGCGCCUCCCCGCCGCCGGAACCCGCGUGUGCUACUUCUCCCGCGGCCACCACGAGCAGUGGGCCGACCGCCUCGGCGCUCCGCCGGCCGCCGACCCCACCAAUCCUUACGCCUCCUGCACAAUCAUCUCCGUCGAGGUUCGCACCGUCGCUCACGCUCCGUACGCCAGCAUCAUCCUCUCCCCCGCUCCCGACGAACCCCAAGGCGGUGCGCCCGCUCCCGCCGGGGACCUGUUCCGCUACGCCUUCAAGGAGUUGACCAACUCGGAUGUCAAAGAGCCAAGAUUGAUGGUCCGCAAGGCAACUGCAUCUAUCUUCCCCGCCUUUGGCGUCAACCAGCAAGAGCAGGACCUGGUGAUGUUCGAUAUCAAGUCCAGAACCUGGAACUUCACCCACGUAUACAAAGGUGGUCGGCAGAUGCACUUCCUCCGCGGCGACUGGGCCAAUUUCGUGGCAGCAAAGAGAGCCAAGUCACGGAACCCCCUCUUUCUGCUGCGCCGGGUCGAGGAUGGUGCCUUCUUCAUUGAGCUACGUAGCUCCUUGGACACGCCCGAAGCAGAGAAAGACCGCCUCUUGGCGCCGCCGCUGGUUCUGCAGGAAGAAAUCAAUGAAGCAGCCGCAGCCGCAGCCGCAGCCGCCCCCGCUGGACAAGGGCAAUUCCAAGUGACCUACUACCCACACAAGGAAACAGGGCUUUUCGUGGUGCCGCGGUGGGAGCUGGACCGGGCUUUGGGCGUCAAUUGGGAGACCGGCAUGCAAGUGCGGGCGAGGAAGCUUCAGUUACACCCCAUCGCCGAUGAAAUCCCCCAGCCGGCAACGGGCGUGAUCACUGCUGUCCACCAGCCAAUCUCCGGAUGGCGAAGCUUGGAGGUCGUUUGGGGCCAGUCGUCCACUUCUUCGCCGACCAAUGCCUGGGAUGUCGAAGUGGUGCCUGGAGACAAUGCUCCUCCGCUCAAGAAGCAGAAGGUCGCUGCACCUGCGCCACGGUCUGGAGACCCAUCAACGACAAGCCAUGUGCAUUAG
rnacentral:rRNA from 1 species